GGACCAUCGUUGCAGCAGCUCAGUGACUGGAUCCAGGAAGGAGGUUCCAGGCACUGGCAUAAGCCUUUGGCUGUUUGUCUCCCUGCUCCUGGACCAGGCACAGAACAAGGUGCAAACAGGAAUGAGAUUCCCCAGCCACUCCUUUCCCAUGCAGCCCACGGCAGGAGUCUG